UGGGGAAUUUUGGACAAUGGGCGAAAGCCUGAUCCAGCAAUGCCGCGUGUGUGAAGAAGGCCUUCGGGUUGUAAAGCACUUUUGUCCGGAAAGAAAUCCUUGGCUCUAAUACAGUCGGGGGAUGACGGUACCGGAAGAAUAAGCACCGGCUAACUACGUGCCAGCAGCCGCGGUAAUACGUAGGGUGCAAGCGUUAAUCGGAAUUACUGGGCGUAAAGCGUGCGCAGGCGGUUUGCUAAGACCGAUGUGAAAUCCCCGGGCUCAGCCUGGGAACUGCAUUGGUGACUGGCAGGCUAGAGUAUGGCAGAGGGGGGUAGAAUUCCACGUGUAGCAGUGAAAUGCGUAGAGAUGUGGAGGAAUACCGAUGGCGAAGGCAGCCCCCUGGGCCAAUACUGACGCUCAUGCACGAAAGCGUGGGGAGCAAACAGGAUUAGAUACCCUGGUAGUCCACGCCCUAAACGAUGUCAACUAGUUGUUGGGGAUUCAUUUCCUUAGUAACGUAGCUAACGCGUGAAGUUGACCGCCUGGGGAGUACGGUCGCAAGAUUAAAACUCAAAUGAAUUGACGGGGUCAUAGCUGUUUCCU
rnacentral:rRNA from 1 species